GCGGCGGACGGGUGAGUAAUGCUUAGGAAUCUGCCUAUUAGUGGGGGACAACAUUUCGAAAGGAAUGCUAAUACCGCAUACGUCCUACGGGAGAAAGCAGGGGAUCUUCGGACCUUGCGCUAAUAGAUGAGCCUAAGUCGGAUUAGCUAGUUGGUGGGGUAAAGGCCUACCAAGGCGACGAUCUGUAGCGGGUCUGAGAGGAUGAUCCGCCACACUGGGACUGAGACACGGCCCAGACUCCUACGGGAGGCAGCAGUGGGGAAUAUUGGACAAUGGGCGCAAGCCUGAUCCAGCCAUGCCGCGUGUGUGAAGAAGGCCUUAUGGUUGUAAAGCACUUUAAGCGAGGAGGAGGCUACUUUAGUUAAUACCUAGAGAUAGUGGACGUUACUCGCAGAAUAAGCACCGGCUAACUCUGUGCCAGCAGCCGCGGUAAUACAGAGGGUGCAAGCGUUAAUCGGAUUUACUGGGCGUAAAGCGCGCGUAGGCGGCUAAUUAAGUCAAAUGUGAAAUCCCCGAGCUUAACUUGGGAAUUGCAUUCGAUACUGGUUAGCUAGAGUGUGGGAGAGGAUGGUAGAAUUCCAGGUGUAGCGGUGAAAUGCGUAGAGAUCUGGAGGAAUACCGAUGGCGAAGGCAGCCAUCUGGCCUAACACUGACGCUGAGGUGCGAAAGCAUGGGGAGCAAACAGGAUUAGAUACCCUGGUAGUCCAUGCCGUAAACGAUGUCUACUAGCCGUUGGGGCCUUUGAGGCU
rnacentral:rRNA from 1 species